GAUGAACGCUGGCGGCGUGCUUAACACAUGCAAGUCGAACGGGAUCCACCAAGCUUGCUUGGUGGUGAGAGUGGCGAACGGGUGAGUAAUGCGUGACCGACCUGCCCCAUACACCGGCAUAGCUCCUGGAAACGGGUGGUAAUGCCGGAUGUUCCAGUCGAUCGCCUGGUCUUCCGGGAAAGCCUCCGCGGUAUGGGAUGGGGUCGCGUCCUAUCAGCUUGACGGCGGGGUAACGGCCCACCGUGGCUUCGACGGGUAGCCGGCCUGAGAGGGCGACCGGCCACAUUGGGACUGAGAUACGGCCCAGACUCCUACGGGAGGCAGCAGUGGGGAAUAUUGCACAAUGGGCGCAAGCCUGAUGCAGCGACGCCGCGUGAGGGAUGGAGGCCUUCGGGUUGUAAACCUCUUUUAUCGGGGAGCAAGCGUGAGUGAGUUUACCCGUUGAAUAAGCACCGGCUAACUACGUGCCAGCAGCCGCCGUAA
rnacentral:rRNA from 1 species